UGAGCCCGCGCACGCGGCUUCAGGGCGGGGCUGCGUGAUGUCGUUACAUGCGCGCGCCGCUCGCUGCUGUGGCCAUAACUUUACGGACACGUGUGCGCAUUCAGAUGGCAGCCAUGGUUGGCGGCUCCUUUGUCGCAUGUGCUGCGGCCCUCACCUUUUCUGCAUCCGUCGUCAUCAGGGUACAGGCGCGGUGCAGGGCUACUUCGAGUCCAGGUGGGCAUCGAGGCCAGGUGAGUGGCCCCAUAACGUGGAAGGGAUGAUCGAGUUCUUCUAGAAGAUGUCCUGGAAACCUAAGUUGCUGGAGCUCGAAGUGACUUGAUGGCACUUCAGAACCAUCGGGCUGUUUCAUGGAACUUCCACUGAAGCGGUGCGGAAAUGGAGACUGAAAUGAGACUCCAGCUGUGUUGAUCGCUUUUGAAGCCUCCUUGGCCUUUAACAAAGCAAUCCGUAGUUUCUGGUUCCUGGCCUAAGCUUGAUUCUAUCUAUGUGUUUGUCCUCCUCCCAGACUCCUUCAGAUUUUGAAUAAGGAACCCAGCUGUGCCUAUUGUCUGACAUCUGAAUAGAAUGAACCGCAGCCAUUGUAGCCAGCUAGAGGAAAACACAUCUGCUAAUCAGUGCUUCUGGACACUAGAUCAGGCCAGACUGGGCUUCGAAAGUCCCAGUCUCAAAUAAAUGUGAUUUUAUAUAUAA